UCCAUCUUUGCCGCUUACUCGCUGAUAAGAGGAUCAGAGGGGCGGAGGGAGGGAGGCGUCUCAUCCGGAACAGCCCAGGGGAGGAAGACGCCCAGAAGGAAGAGCUGGAAUGCGUCACGAGCUGGACGAGCGUCGUGACGUCAAAACAAUUACGAGGAUGUGGAGUAGCGACGAGCCGGGCACUCUAUCCAAUCGCGUCGCUGCUUUUAUUCCGAGGGAGCAGAAACUACCCCGGGGGUGAUGAUGGAGAGAGGAGCGCAUGGAGACUGUUCACGCUUUAGUGGAAGGAGUGAUUCAGAAGAGAAAAUCAAAAGAAGUCCCCGUGGCCAAAACCUGCGAAGGAAGUUGGGAAAAGUUCACCGAGAGUUCUGGAAGAUGAGGAUGGAAUCAUAAAUAGAGUGCUAGUGAGGCCAGACUUGCAACAUCUCCUUCACUCAAGUACACCUGCUCAGAUACUCCCUCUGUGGCUUUGACUUCUUCAAUUGAAAUCUCAGGCGGAGGUGGAGGAGGAAGAGGCGAUUCACUGAUGGAGUCUGCCCUGUUUGUUAAGAGUACAAGCAAGUUAGAAAACUCCUCGUUAUGAAAUAGAAGGAAUACCAGUCCCGUCACCUGCUCUGUGAUCACACCCC